GGUAGGGUAGCUCAGUGGUAGAGUACCUACCUAACAUGUAGAAGGCCCUGGGUUCAACCCCCAGCCCAACAUAUACCC